UACGGAGGGUGCGAGCGUUACCCGGAUUUACUGGGUGUAAAGGGCGUGUAGGCGGUCUUUCAAGUCCGAUGCUAAAGACCGAAGCUCAACUUCGGGGGUGCGUUGGAUACUGUGAGGCUAGACGGUCGGAGAGGGUAGCGGAAUUUCCGGAGUAGCGGUGAAAUGCGCAGAUACCGGAAGGAACGCCGAUAGCGAAAGCAGCUACCUGGACGAUUUGUGACGCUGAGGCGCGAAAGCGUGGGGAGCAAACCGG
rnacentral:rRNA from 1 species